GGAACUGAAUUUAUUAACAUAGUUAUAGAAAGAGUCUGUCAAUGAAAGGAGAAUUAGUUGCCUAUGGAAACUGAGCUACAGAUGAAUCUUUAAGGCAUAAAUCUCUUUUCCACCUAAGUGGAAGUCCAAUUCCUGAGGCAGGAAGUCUGGGCAAGUGAAAUUGCCAGUUAAGUUGGUAAGCCUUCCUACAAUAAAAAUAAAUGCAUGUGCACAUUUAUAUUAGCUUGAUGGUGUUAAAUAUUCUAAUCAUUGAACUUUAUUUUUCUGAUCUAAUACAUACCCAGCUAUCAUGUGACUACAUUUUGUUUUCCCAUACAGAUGUGCGUUUGGGUGGAAAGUAUGUACUGUUUAUGCUGAACUACUGUUUAAGACAGAAUUCAUCAAGUAGCAGAAGUGAUGGAAGGGCCAAGGGGAAGAAAGAUGGACAAAACCUGAAAAUUGAAAGUGCAAUAAAAUGAAAAUUACAAAUGAAAACCAGUAUGCCUGAGUUAUACAUGACUGUUUAGUAGAGUGUCUUCAUGUGGGUUAAAGAAGAAAAGGAAAUACCAGCUGGAAUCAGCAGAACAGAUUUAGCACUUGACCCUUGGAUACUUUUCAUUCUAUUUAUCUAUCAUAUUUUUAUUGGUUUGUAUUCCAUUGACUACUAUAUGCACCGACCCUCAGCAAAUUCAUUCAAUAGAGAGGAGAGAUUAUAUCUCCACUGUAUCAGUGGAGCUGCUUAGGAACAUUUCUCCCGCUUCUUGCAUGUAUUUUGUCCUAUUUGUACAUUGUAUUUUAUGAGCUGCUUUAGAAUAGUAGAAUAACUUUCCUUUAUAUGGUAUAGAACUUUUGAUAUAUCUCAAAUAAAUUUUUUAAAAAUGA